rnacentral:rRNA from 1 species
GAUGAACGCUGGCGGCGUGCUUAACACAUGCAAGUCGAACGGAGAUGUUUCGCUGAAGCGAGCUUGCUCAAUUCUUGAGACAUCUUAGUGGCGGACGGGUGAGUAACGCGUGGGUAACCUGCCAUAUACAGGGGGAUAACACUUAGAAAUAGGUGCUAAUACCGCAUAAGCGCACGGUGUCGCAUGACACAGUGUGAAAAACUCCGGUGGUAUAUGAUGGACCCGCGUCUGAUUAGCUAGUUGGUGAGGUAACGGCUCACCAAGGCGACGAUCAGUAGCCGGCCUGAGAGGGUGAACGGCCACAUUGGGACUGAGACACGGCCCAAAAUCCCUACGGGAGGCAGCAGUGGGAAUAUUGGGCAAUGGGGGAAACCCUGACCCAGCAACGCCGCGUGGAGGAAGAAGG